rnacentral:rRNA from 1 species
UACCAUGCAGUCGAGCGGUAAGGCCCUUUGGGGUACACGAGCGGCGAACGGGUGAGUAACACGUGGGUGACCUGCCCUCCACUUCGGGAUAAGCCUGGGAAACUGGGUCUAAUACCGGAUAUGACCAUGGGAUGCAUGUUCUGUGGUGGAAAGUUUUUUCGGUGGGGGAUGGGCCCGCGGUCUAUCAGCUUGUUGGUGGGGUGAUGGCCUACCAAGGCGACGACGGAUAGCCGGCCUGAGAGGGUGAUCGGCCACACUGGGACUGAGACACGGCCCAGACUCCUACGGGAGGCAGCAGUGGGGAAUCUUGCGCAAUGGGCGGAAGCCUGACGCAGCAACGCCGCGUGAGGGAUGACGGCCUUCGGGUUGUAAACCUCUUUCGCGAUCGACGAAGCUUCAUCUUGUUGGUGGGGUGACGGUAGGUCGAGAAGAAGCACCGGCCAACUACGUGCCAGCAGCCGCGGUAAUACGUAGGGUGCGAGCGUUGUCCGGAAUUAUUGGGCGUAAAGAGCUCGUAGGCGGUGUGUCGCGUCGGCCGUGAAAACCUGGGGCUUAACUCUGGGCGUGCGGUCGAUACGGGCAUCACUAGAGUUCGGCAGGGGAGACUGGAAUUCCUGGUGUAGCGGUGAAAUGCGCAGAUAUCAGGAGGAACACCGGUGGCGAAGGCGGGUCUCUGGGCCGAUACUGACGCUGAGGAGCGAAAGCAUGGGUAGCGAACAGGAUUAGAUACCCUGGUAGUCCAUGCCGUAAACGUUGGGCGCUAGGUGUGGGGUCCAUUCCACGGGUUCCGUGCCGCAGCUAACG